AGGGCCAUUUGUUUGACCGUAUUGAUUAUUUUGUUUUCAUGACGCAAGAGAUAGCUUUGUUCUAUUUUGUAUGUUAAAGAUUUAGGAGCCCGAUUAAGUGUUGUGAUUAGGUGUUGAGUGUCGCCUAAGCGUGCGGAACCGGGCAGAAGCGAAGAAAAGUGCAGUGCUGAGCAUCUAUGGUCGCCGGCGGCAAAACGAAAAAUUGAGGGUAGGUGGGAGGGAAAAGUAGAAGAUAGGGUUUCCGCCCCAGAUUGAGGUCGACCUUGUCGCCGCCAUCCGUCCGCUGCGCCUCAGCACUCAGGUACUGUCAAGAAACGGACAUUGAUCCGGGUGCGGGUGGGUCGGUGCCUGAGGUGCCAAUGGUAUAGACCGGCAACUCAAGCGAUGUUGGUUUGAAGUAUGGCAAAUAUUGUGAUCCAAUCAACAAGAGUAAGCUUGAUGUGCUGCAUGGUGGUAGGAUCUAGCUUUGAAUCCUUCAUACUGUCCUGAGCUAUUAUGGAAGGUGCAGCCUGUUGAUACAACUUCUGCCUUUUGCCACCCUUGACAAAAUUAAACGCUGCUGUUUUGCAUCUUCAGAAAUGUUCGUGCAAAACAGAAGGAAUUGUGUUGUGUAAUUGCAGUCAAGUGCAACGCAGAAUUAAUAAGGUACCUCUCAUACUUUGGAGAUUACGAGUAAGAUCCAAGGUUCAGUACCGAUCGAUAAGAGAGGAUUAGGGAAGAAUUGCACAGUUCUAGGGCAAGGGCAGGGAAUAUCAUCAGUACAAGAACUCUGGUUAUCCCUCAACAGGAAGAGGAUCAUCAUAAAGAGAACCUUAAAACUCAAGUUGCAGAAAAAGCAUCAUGGAA